rnacentral:tRNA from 1 species
GUCUCGGUAGGUUAGGGCACAACCGUUGCCCAUUGCUCGAGACGCCCAAGUGCGGGUUCGAAUCCCGCUCGAGGCC